UACGGGGGGGGCAAGCGUUGUUCGGAAUUACUGGGCGUAAAGGGUUCGUAGGUGGCUUGCUAAGUCAGACGUGAAAUCCCUCAGCUUAACUGGGGAACUGCGUCUGAGACUGGUGAGCUUGAGUGCAGGAGAGGAACGCGGAAUUCCAGGUGUAGCGGUGAAAUGCGUAGAUAUCUGGAGGAACACCGGUGGCGAAGGCGGCGUUCUGGACUGCAACUGACACUGAUGAACGAAAGCCAGGGGAGCAAACGGG
rnacentral:rRNA from 1 species